rnacentral:tRNA from 1 species
UUUUAUUUAGUUUAAAAAAAAUUGUGGCUUGUCAAGUCAUGGAUUGAAAAGUUUCAAGUAAAAA